AACAAACGCUGGCGGCGUGCCUAAUACAUGCAAGUCGAACGGGGAAAGCUUUCGGGUGAGUACUAGUGGCGCACGGGUGAGUAACGCGUGGAUAAUCUGCCUUAGAGUGGGGGAUAACUAGUCGAAAGAUUAGCUAAUACCGCAUAAGACCACAAGAACUGCGGUUCAAGGGGUCAAAGGUUUUUCGCUCUAAGAUGAGUCCGCGUAAGAUUAGCUAGUUGGUAGGGUACGGCCUACCAAGGCGACGAUCUUUAACUGGUCUGAGAGGAUGAUCAGUCAAACUGGAACUGAGACACGGUACAGACUCCUACGGGAGGCAGCAGUAGGGAAUAUUGCACAAUGGAGGAAACUCUGAUGCAGCGACGCCGCGUGAGUGAUGAAGGCCUUCGGGUCGUAAAGCUCUGUCGCAGGGGAAUAACACAAUGAAGGUACCCUGUAAGAAAGGAUCGGCUAACUUCGUGCCAGCCGCCGCAGUAAUAC
rnacentral:rRNA from 1 species